rnacentral:tRNA from 1 species
AGUCUCUGUAGUAUAUUACAUUACCCUGGUCUUGUAAACCAGAAAAGGGGAACAACACUCCCCCAUAGACUUC